UUUUUUUUUUUUUUUUUUUUUUUUUCUUCCCGCAAACUGUCCUCUCCCUGCUUCUUCCUAUCCAAGGCAUCCCUAUUUCCAAAUGGGAGCCACUUUCCAGGCAGGUGAUGGCCAGGCUCGCACCAGCUCUGAGGAGUCCCUGGGCUGGGCUGGGGAGGCACACUGUAGACAUGGACACAGAGCCUUCUGGGUGCAGAGAACACCAGGGCUACUGGGGGGGCAGGCGCUCAGGCUGCAGCUCUGGGGUGUGCUGGUCAGACUGUGAGGAGCUGGGCUGUGCCUUUAGGAAUGGGGAGGAAGCUGCACUUAGCUUGCAGGGGGCAGAGGUGUGUGUGUGUGUGUAGGGAGUGGGAGGGACACACAUAGACAGGCACCCACAUAAGCAUGCACACAUCCAGAGAGGGAAGUAAGAGAUUGAGGGAAAAAAACCAGCAAGGGACCCAGGAAGAAAAACAGCACAAGUUAGGGAGGUCAUAAGGGACGACCAGCACCGAGAUGGAGUCUGAAAAAUAGCUGAUAUAGGAGUUCCUGUUGUGGUGCAAUGGAAACGAAUCUGACUAGGAACCAUGAGGUCGCGGGCUCGAUCACUGGCCUCACUCAGUGGGAUAAGGAUCCGGCGUUGCCGGGAGCUGUGGUGCAGGUCGCAGAUGAUGCUCGGAUCUGGCAUUGCUGUGGCUGUGGUGUAGGCCAGCAGCUGUAGCUCCGAUUCAACCCGGGCCUCCAUAUGCCGUGGGUGCAGCCCUAAAAAAAAGCCAAAAAAAGGGCAAAAAGCUGAGACAGAGAGCAUCUAUAGAAAGAGUGCCACCUGGAGUUGUGCAGUGCAGUUGCCCUGCAUAGGACAAAUCCAAGAGCAGAGGAAGGAGACAGACAAAACUGGUGCUGAGAGCUAUGUGUCCCAGGCACUCCUGCAACUGAACCCCCCCCUGGCCGUGAGAACCGUCCAAGUUGAUGAUGGGAAGGGCCCUGAGCCCUGAUACAGGCAGGCCUGACCCAUGGCUGCUCUGGCCGCUUCAGAAUCUCAGCUAAAUCUGCAGAACGUACCUACUCUGAGCCCAAUCCCCCCCCCCCCCCCCCGCCAGCCCGGGCCCCAGUAAGGAGGUCCUAUUCUCAUCUUAUGAAGAAGAGGAAGGGCCUCUGGGAGGUCAGGUGAUCUGACCUUACAAAGCUCAGGACCUGAAGAUUUGAAGAUAGGGGUUUGUCAGCCGCAAAACUGAUAUACCUCCAAGAAGCCUUCUCUGAUCCUCUUGGUUGGCAGAGGGUUCUCCCCGAGCAAUGCCCAGAGUGAGUGCUCUGUGCCUUGGGCCUGACUAAGGACUCGGGCUUGAAAGUCAGAGGGAGCUGGGUUCAAAUUCUGGCCCCAGCUCCAAGAGGCUGUGUACCAUGGAUGUGCUGUUUGACUUCUCUCUUCCACAGUUCACUCAUUUGCAACAGGCUCUAUGAAGAUUAAAUUAGAUAAUGCAUACAAAGUUCAUGGGGCAAGUGUUAUUUUUUUUGUCUUAUUAUGGCAUGUGGACGUUCCCAGGCUAGGGAUGCCACAGUCACAGCAACGAAGGAUCCAAGCCACAUCCGCAACUCAAGCCGCAAUGCUGGAUUCUUAACCCACUGAGGGAUUGAACUGCAUCCUCAUGGAUACUAAUCAGGUUCUUAACCUGUUGAGCCACAAGGGAAACUCCAGGAAGUGUUAACUCCACACAGUUGCCAUUAAGACCCUGC
rnacentral:lncRNA from 1 species